rnacentral:rRNA from 1 species
GGGCCCGCACAAGCGGUGGAGCAUGUGGUUUAAUUCGAUGCAACGCGAAGAACCUUACCAGGGCUUGACAUACUACGAAUUUUCUUGAAAGAGAAAAGUGCCUUCGGGAAUGUAGAUACAGGUGGUGCAUGGCUGUCGUCAGCUCGUGUCGUGAGAUGUUGGGUUAAGUCCCGCAACGAGCGCAACCCUCACUUUUAGUUGCCAUCAUUUAGUUGGGCACUCUGAAAGAACUGCCAGUGAUAAGCUGGAGGAAGGUGGGGAUGACGUCAAGUCCUCAUGGCCCUUACGUGUUGGGCUACACACGUGCUACAAUGGUAGUGACAAUGGGUUAAUCCCAAAAAGCUAUCUCAGUUCGGAUUGUCGUCUGCAACUCGACGGCAUG